GGCCUUUUGAAUUUAAUUUAAGGUCUGACCUGCCCAGUGAUAAUUUUAACGGCCGCGGUAUACUGACCGUGCAAAGGUAGCAUAAUCAUUAGUCUUUUAAUAGAGGGCUGGAAUGAAAGGUUUCACGAGGAACUGACUGUCUCAUUUUAUUUGUUUUAAAAUUUAAUUUUUUGGUUAAAAAGCUAAAAUUUUAUUGGUAGACGAGAAGACCCUAUAGAGCUUUACAUAUAAUUGAUUAGAUAUUUUUAUAUUAAUAUUUUUAAUUAUUUUUGUGUUUUGUUGGGGUGACAAAAAUAUAUAAUUAACUUUUUUAUUUAAAUUACAUUGAUUUAUGAAUAUUAGAUCCAUUCUUGUUGAUUAUUAGACUAAGUUACCUUAGGGAUAACAGCGUAAUCCUCCUCCAGAGUUCAUAUUUACAGGAUGGGCUUGCGACCUCGAUGUUGGAUUAAGAUAAUAAUUAGGUGUAGUCGCUUAAUUGAUAGGUCUGUUCGACCUUUAAAUUCUU
rnacentral:rRNA from 1 species